AAACAACACAUAAGUAUGCAGCUGUCUUAGUUGAACGAAUGAAGGACGUGCCUGACCCCACCCAGCUUGGACAAUACACAGAAGUGAUGGAGGCCUUCGGCUGAGGUGAUAACAAGGAUGAUGGUGAUGACAACGACGACGACGAUGAUGAUGAUGCAGGGAAACUAUUCUUCAAGGAAACACUUCCACAGGCAGAAGCAGAGGGACAUGACCAACAGGGCAGCCACCGUAGUGACUGAGAUCAGGAUGGUGAGAGCCGUCCCAACUAGGAGGGAGAAAUCCAGGGAAGUGAUCAGCUGUUUAAUUAUCUGCCACAUAAACUACAGCAUGUAAAUCCUGGCCACAUUAAAUGUAAUGAUACGUGUCGGUAUGUGUGUCUGAGUACUGUGAGGCCUGUGCCAGUCUAAACACUGCUUCCCUUUUA